GAUAGUGUAAACAUUCCCAGAGAUUCAAAAAAUUAAUUGCAAUGCCUUUUAAUGAAAAAAUGCCAUUUGGCAUGCUGGGGGUAGAAUUGCAAGAGAAAGGACACGGGGAUGCUGCACAGACAACAGGAGAGGGUCGGAGAGAUGAUGCACAGACAAGUAAGCACAGCCAGAUUGAUGCUUCGAGUGCAACUGUGGACUGGCAGGAUCAGCCCUGCCUGGGACCAGGAGGCAAGCAGGCAGAGGUGAGCCCGCCAGCUGUUUGUGGAAGGUAGAUUAGAGGGAGGAGGUGUAGGAAGCUGUGUGGGGCUUGUCGGGCAUACAGAUAAGAGGCAGAUAAAAAACACCAAAACC
rnacentral:lncRNA from 1 species